ensembl:miRNA
UGGGGUGACCAACCAUCUGGGUUUGCCUGGGACUGAGGGAUUUCUCAGGAUGUGGGA